rnacentral:rRNA from 1 species
CGAAUAGAAGUGAGCUAAACAUGUAUACAUUUAGUGUAUAACACGUUGCAUAGUGUAAGUAAUACAUGUUUAGGGGUGAUAGGCCUUUCAAACUUUUUGAUAACUUGUUGCACAUGAAACGUAUUGAGUACAUAGACAUACUUAAAAAGUUAAGCUUUUAAGUGUUUAUUAAAAAUAUUAGACAUUUUUAAUACAGAAUAAUUCCUGGUUAUAAAAUACUCUCACAUUAAGUUUAUAUUUUUAUAUUUAUUAGUGUGCCAGUUUAUUUUAUUAUUUUAUUUGAUAAUGUUAAUAUUAGUAGUAUUAAUAAGUACAUUUAAGGAACUCGGCAAUUUUACCAUUCAACUGUUUACCAAAAACAUAGCUACUUGAGUUAAUAAGUAGUUAUUUCUGCUCCAUGAUAAUUAAAUAGCCGCAGUACCCUGACUGUGCAAAGGUAGCAUAAUCAGUUGGCUCUUAAUUAGAGUCUGGAAUGAAUGAAAACAUGGAUGGUGACUAUCUAAGUGUAUUUUUUGAACUUAAUAAAUAAGUGAAAAUACUUAUGUUAAUAUAAUAGACGAGAAGACCCUAGAAACUUGAAUUGAUUUUUGUUGGGGCGACAAAAUUACAUUUAACUAAUUUUUUUAAACGCGACGUAAAAACGAAAGAAUAAGUUACUCUAGGGAUAACAGCAUAAUUUUUAUAGUUUGUGACCUCGAUGUUGGACUAGGUAUUACAUCCUUUAGAUAAGGAUGUAAGGUGCUCUGUUCGAGCAAAUACACCUACAU